rnacentral:tRNA from 1 species
GCCUGGUUAGUUUGGUUGGUAGUGCGUCCGGCUUGUAAGCGCUAGGCCGCGGGUUCGAUUCCCGCACAAGGAA